rnacentral:rRNA from 1 species
AUGGAGCACACCAAGCGAGAGAAACAAGAGGCGCAUGUGGCGGAGGUGCGGCAAGAGCUCAAUGCUCUUGUGAAAAAACAUGAGAGUUUAGAGCUUGACUCGAAGACUCGAGAGUCCGAGCUUGCCUCGGCGCUUGAAAGCGCCAAAUCUGCCAAGGCCGAAGCCCAAAAAGCCCUCCAGGAAUUUCAGGCGAUGAAGAAGAUUGCGGAGGGUAAGGCAUUCUUUAUGCAAAGCAAGCACGUGAAAGUAAAUUACCUGUUACUUACCCGAAUCCGGAGCUCUCCAGGAGCAUUCGCAGAUCUGCCCUGCAGUGUGUCCGACGCCGCCGCAUUCUACCGAGCCGAAGAAGGGAGCUCGACGGAGAAGGUGUUCUGGUCCCAGUAUGCUAAGGCCGGACACCCGGUGCCCCUGAGAGACCAGCUGAAGCAGCUGGUCGAGCUCCAUAAGGCAGCCGAACAGGCCAUGAAGGGCCUUAUAGGCCGGCUGUGGCCUGGGGAGGCCAUGCCUGGGAGCUACUUUGGGCUGGUGCGGCGGCUGGUGGAUGCCUAUCCAUGGCUUGAAGUCAUCAACCGCUCCGUAUGCAUUGAAGGCGCCCGUAGGGCCCUUGCCCGUGCCAAAGUGCACUGGGGCAAGCUGGAUGCUGAGAAGUUGGUGAAGGAUGGGCCACCGGAGGGGAAGGAGCAUCGCAGGCCCGAGAUGUACUAUGAGGGUGUCUUGAAGGGUGCCCGCCUUGUGGUGAACGAAUGUUCCAAGGAUUUAAUUUUUGAGUAA